rnacentral:rRNA from 1 species
UACAGAGGUCCCGAGCGUUGUUCGGAUUUACUGGGCGUAAAGGGUGCGUAGGCGGUGGGGUAAGUUUGAGGUGAAAGCUCCGGGCUCAACCCGGAAAAUGCCUUGAAAACUAUCCGGCUAGAGGGUUGGAGGGGAGACUGGAAUUCUCGGUGUAGCAGUGAAAUGCGUAGAUCUCGAGAGGAACACCAGUGGCGAAGGCGGGUCUCUGGACAACCCCUGACGCUGAGGCACGAAAGCCAGGGGAGCAAACGGG